rnacentral:lncRNA from 1 species
GCCUAUUUGAUGAAUUGAGUCAUUGUAAGUUCUACAGUAAUGCAUGUAAUUGAAGAAUUUAUCCCGGAUCACUGUGUCUUUCACUUGUUCUGUACUACUCACCACAGCAGAGACAUAAGAACGUUUACGAGGAUAGAUUAGUUAGUUAUGUGAGAUGAUUUUACAAACACUUUAGAGAUUCUGAUUCAGAUUUCCCUCCUCUGAGAAACACUUAGGUUUUAAACUGACCCA